UAGGGAAUCUUCCACAAUGGACGCAAGUCUGAUGGAGCAACGCCGCGUGAGUGAAGAAGGUCUUCGGACCGUAAAACUCUGUUGUUAGAGAAGAACACGAGUGAGAGUAACUGUUCAUUCGAUGACGGUAUCUAACCAGCAAGUCACGGCUAACUACGUGCCAA
rnacentral:rRNA from 1 species